rnacentral:rRNA from 1 species
AACGAACGUUGGCGGCGUGGAUUAGGCAUGCAAGUCGAACGAAUCCCACCUGGGUAACUGGGUGGGGGAAGUGGCGAAAGGGGCAGUAAGGCGUGGGUAACCUGCCCCGGAGUUCGGGAUAGCCUUCCUAACGGAUGGGUAAUACCGAAUGCCAUGACCUGGGGGCCUCCUCGGGUCAUGAAAGCUCCGGCGCUCCGGGAGGGGCUCACGUAGUAUUAGCUUGUUGGUGGGGUAACGGCCCACCAAGGCCAAGAUGCUUAGCAGGUGUGAGAGCACGACCUGCGCCACUGGCACUGGGACACUGGCCAGACUCCUACGGGAGGCUGCAGUCGAGGAUCUUCGGCAAUGGGCGCAAGCCUGACCGAGCGACGCCGCGUGUGCGAUGAAGGCCUUCGGGUUGUAAAGCACUGUCGGGAGGGAGAAAAGGGGCAACCCUUGAUCGACCUCCGGAGGAAGCACGGGCUAAGUUCGUGCCAGCAGCCGCCGUAACAC